UGCAAUAGCUGCUGGGCUCUUCAC
rnacentral:piRNA from 1 species